ensembl:lncRNA
GGGAAAUUUACACUCUUUCUCACUUUCAGUAACAGUUUAAUCUGGUCAGAGUGAAAUAAACCGUUCAGGUCUGUGUACUUAUAGAAUAGAGCCUGUUGCUAGAUGAGGAAGUAAACUGUUAUUUAAGGUCAUACCUGAAGGUCAUGGCUGUUACACCUUGAUAAAAUGUGCGUGUGUCGCAAGUGGGGCAGCCGUAGACAGAGUAGAGCUGGGAAAGAAAGAACAAGUUCACAUUGAGAGAUUCUUCAAGCUUUCUUCUCCUACAGUAUAACACUAAGGCAAGGCAGAUUGUUCCAUUUUGAUUUACAGCAACCAGGUAUAUCUCAAUGACCUGGCGGACAUUUCUAGCCUCUUUAUUUUGAAUUCUCACACUAUCUCACUGGUGGAAAACUUUGGAAGUUGUCUCAAAAUAAAGGUCCAUAUUUGGAUUUUCUUCACUGAUUUCUUUCAUUUCAAUCUCUCACCGAUGGACGGAUCUGAACUCAGUCAUGAAUUUAGAAUUUCAGAACAUGCAAAAUGGAAAAACGCCAGAAAAGAUUU